rnacentral:rRNA from 1 species
GAUGAACGCUAGCUACAGGCUUAACACAUGCAAGUCGAGGGGCAGCGGUAUCGAAAGCUUGCUUUUUCUAGGCGUCGACCGGCGCACGGGUGAGUAACGCGUAUCCAACCUGCCCAUCACUUGGGGAUAACCUUGCGAAAGUAAGACUAAUACCCAAUGACGUCUCUAGAAGACAUCUGAAAGAGAUUAAAGAUUUAUCGGUGAUGGAUGGGGAUGCGUCUGAUUAGCUUGUUGGCGGGGUAACGGCCCACCAAGGCAACGAUCAGUAGGGGUUCUGAGAGGAAGGUCCCCCACAUUGGAACUGAGACACGGUCCAAACUCCUACGGGAGGCAGCAGUGAGGAAUAUUGGUCAAUGGACGAGAGUCUGAACCAGCCAAGUAGCGUGCAGGAUGACGGCCCUAUGGGUUGUAAACUGCUUUUAUAAGGGAAUAAAGUGGGAGUCGUGACUCCUUUUGCAUGUACCUUAUGAAUAAGGACCGGCUAAUUCCGUGCCAGCAGCCGCCGUAA